rnacentral:lncRNA from 1 species
CCCUCCUUGUAAUCCACAGGAUGUGGGGGGACAGUUUAUAGGCACCUGGAUGAAGAGGGGACCACGUAGUUCCUCAUGAACUGUCCGUGGUAACGGUUUAAAAUAACCUCAAAGUGAAGAACUUCAAGAAGGGGAUCCACUGAGCAUGCUGUCAGCUGAACACAUGUCAGGAAGGGUAGAGCAGAGCCUGCAACACUGUCCUCCAGGGCACCAGGACAGGAGAGGAGCAGUGCCACCACCAACCCAUGACCACUUCUGGAAAUUUCUCAGUGAAGAACUUUACCAAGACGUGCAUUGGUGUCCUUCCACCCAGGCACAGUCAGCAUGGGCUCGUUUCUCCCGGAAGAAGUCCACUGAUUGGAAAAGACACACUUUUGCAAACAGAGAAUGUACUCUCCCCUCCAAAGGGCUGAAGAAGAGCGUGCCCUUGUUUUCCUAGAACCGAGUGAUGCUUUCCUGGCAGUGUGCUGGCUAUGCUGGGAAGAGAAAAUUAGUUUUUAUUGUUUAACCUUCAUGGUUUAAAAGAGAAACCUUCUGCCACAGUUAAGAGUCUCCUAGAGUUUUCGUAAAGUAGCCUUAUGACAGCAGUAUUAGUCUUCAUAAAGAGCCCAAUCUCAGAAUGUCUUGCACUACAGUACUCGGUUACAAAGUUUAAUCUAAGGGCCCGGUGGAGUGACUGCGGCGUGCGUCUUGCAUGAGGUGUGCUAUUUACCCUGUCUCUGAUUUCUCCUGCCACUUAAACAGUAAAGCCCCCUUACACUGGCAGAGCUCUGACCUUCACAGAACCUUGUAGGCUCUGAAAAAGGCUCACAAACGCUCACAAACCCUCCCCAAAGUAUUGAAUUGCUGGGAAUACGAUGCUAAGGGGAACAGAGGUACCAGGCCAGCCUCUGUGGACAAAUGAGGCCAGGAAGGAAG